AACGCUUACAUUCUCGUUCUAAAGUUUUCAACUGAAAACUCAUAUGCAUAACGUUCACAAAAUAUUCAGUAUUCUCUUUUAAAGAGAAAAGUUCGUGUGUAUAAUAAAAAGUAGUAAUGGGGUAAAGUUCAGUUGCAGUGGAACAUUUUAUAUUCUUGCAAUUUGUAAGAAUUAAAGACGUGGAAAUACAUUCAUUUUCUGCAAAAUAUUAUCAUACACAUAUGAAUUCAAGAUUUAUUCUUUAGUUAAAUUGCGAACCGGUUGCGAUAUAAUGCUCAAUUUAAAUAUCCUACGUAUUGACCAAUAUUUAAGAUAUAAGUAGUUACCCGGAAGUUCGAAAAAUAUAUUGGGUACAUAAGUCCAAAGCAAAGGGAUGAAUCAAUUUUAUCUCCUUUCAUUCAUUAAACUUACCCAAGAAUCACAAGUGUCCAAUAUUUUCGAAAUAAAGUAAAAGUAUUAUAGUAAUUUAUUAUACAACAACGACGAAGCUGUUGGGGCUAAAACCGUGAGCUGCGCUUAAAAGAAAGACUUCAUGAAUACUUGAAUACAUUGAAAUUCCAAGCUUUUUACUUAAUGAGAUAAAAGAACGCUUCCACAAACUAGGGUAGGAAAGAAAGUACUAUUGUAUAAACCUACAAGUAACAAAACCUGGAGUGCCUUGGAGAUGCUACUACUGCAAUUAUUACGUAGCUCGAACGCACCCCUACUUUUUUAUCAAUACAUACACAGGCGAAACCUUUUAGAAUGACAGAAAUUACGAUAAGAAUGCUUAUGCAACAGCUGUACAUCCAAUAUUGAAAAUACGCUCAUCUCUUUGAUUUCUUUCGGGCGGUACUUAUCAAAAAAGCAGUGGAAAUGAUUUUAACAUUGGACUGGCGCAACGUUAAAAAUUUAUAAUUUUUAAGGUUUUAAUUAUGGAGUAAAUGGCGUAGAACAAAAGAUUGUACCGACUGUUUAUGCUCGCAACAUUUUUGUAUGUAUCCCUUUACUAAAUACAUCAUAAAAACGAUUUGAUGAAUGUAGGUCAGAGCGUAAAUUGUUGAAAAAUAAGACUGCUAAUUUUCGGCUUUGUAACAAAACCGUUUUAUUAUUUUUUGAAUAUAUUGUAUACAAACUACAAUUUAACUGUAAUUAAUAUGUAAUCUUAUAGAAAACUAAGUGCUUUUACCAUUGAUUACUUCUUUAAUGUUUUCACGGUUGGGAUACUACCGUUAAAUACCUACAUAAGUUGUGAAAGUAUCAUAUUUUCAAAUGGAUAACGUUUACGAAAAAUGAGAGCAUAAUGUAUUAUUGUAAUAAUUAAAGGGAUAGAAUAUACCAUUAUAGAA